CACAUCCUACGGGGGGCAGCAGUGGGGGAUAUUGCACAAUGGGGGGAACCCUGAUGCAGCGACGCCGCGUGGGUGAAGGAGCGUUUCGGCGCGUAAAGCCCUAUCGGCAGGGAAGAAGAUGACGGUACCUGACCAAGAAGCCCCGGCUAACUACGUGCCAGCAGCCGCGGUAAUACGUAGGGGGCAAGCGUUAUCCGGAUUUACUGGGUGUAAAGGGGGCGCAGACGGCAAUGCAAGCCAGGGGUGAAAGCCCG
rnacentral:rRNA from 1 species